GUUGACCUCGGAUCAGGUAGGGAUACCCCCUGAACUUAAGCAUAUCAAUAAGCGG
rnacentral:rRNA from 1 species